AUUAUUAAAAUAUAGGUUUGUAUUUCUUGAUUAUUAGUAAAUAUAUUUAUGAAAUUAAAAUAAUUUGGCGGUAUUUUAGUCUAUUCAGAGGAACUUGUUUUAUAAUCGAUAAUCCUCGUUAUAUCUUACUUAUUUUAUUUAAUUUGUAUAUCGUUGUCAUUAGAAUAUUUUAUGAGAAAAAUAAUUUUCUUUAAUUUAUAAAAAAUUGUAUGUCAAAUCAAGGUGCAGUUUAUAUUUAAGUAGAAAUGAGUUACAUUAGAAUUUAAUUAAAUGAAUAAAUAAUUGAAAUAUUAUUUUGAAGGUGGAUUUGAUAGUAAAUUUAUAAAUAAAAUUAAUUUGAAUUUAGCUCUAAAAUAUGCAC
rnacentral:rRNA from 1 species